AGUGAACGCUGGCGGUAGGCCUAACACAUGCAAGUCGAACGGAAGCACAGUAAGAGCUUGCUCUUACGGGUGGCGAGUGGCGGACGGGUGAGGAAUACAUCGGAAUCUACUUUUUCGUGGGGGAUAACGUAGGGAAAAUUACGCUAAUACCGCAUACGACCUACGGGUGAAAGCAGGGGAUCUUCGGACCUUGCGCGAUUGAAUGAGCCGAUGUCGGAUUAGCUAGUUGGCGGGGUAAAGGCCCACCAAGGCGACGAUCCGUAGCUGGUCUGAGAGGAUGAUGAGCCACACUGGAACUGAGACACAGUCCAGACUCCUACGGGAGGGAGCAGUGGGGAAUAUUGGACAAUGGGCGGAAGCCUGAUCCAGCCAUACCGCGUGGGUGAAGAAGGCCUUCGGGUUGUAAAGCCCUUUUGUUGGGAAAGAAAAGCAGCAGGUUAAUACCCCGCUGUUCUGACGGUACCCAAAGAAUAAGCACCGGCUAACUUCGUG
rnacentral:rRNA from 1 species